rnacentral:rRNA from 1 species
AUUGAACGCUGGCGGCAUGCUUUACACAUGCCAGUCGAACGGCAGCGCGGGCUUCGGCCUGGCGGCGCGUGGCGAAAGGGUGUGUAAUGCAUCGGAAUGUGCUCAGUAGUGGGGGAUAGUAAGUCGAAAGAAGGAUUAAUAACGCAUACGAGCUGAGGGUGCAACCGGGGGGGGGAAAGACAGUGCGGGCUUGGAGGGACCGACGCGGGGCUUGCUAGUUGGUUGGGUAAAGGGUUACUUAGGCGAGGAUCGGCAGCUGGUCUGAGAGGACGAGCAGCCACACGGGGACUGGGACACGGCCCUGGCGCCUGCGGGAGGCAGCAGUGGGGAAUUGGAGACAAUGGGGGCAAACCUGAUCCAGCCGGGCCGCGUGCGAGAAGAAGGCCUUCCGGUUGUAAACCGCUUUUGUUCGGGAAGAAAUCCUCUGGGCUAAUACCCCGGGGGAAUGACGGUACCGGAAGAAUAAGCACCGGCUAACUACGUG